UACAGAGGUGGCAAGCGUUGUUCGGAAUUACUGGGCGUAAAGGGCGCGUAGGCGGUCUUGUCAGUCCCUUGUGAAAUCCCCCGGCUCAACUGGGGAACUGCACGGGAAACAGCAGGGCUUGAGUUCGGGAGAGGGAAGCGGAAUUCCGGGUGGUAGCGGUGAAAUGCGUAGAUAUCCGGAGGAACACCGGUGGCGAAGGCGGACU
rnacentral:rRNA from 1 species